rnacentral:rRNA from 1 species
CGGCCCAGACUCCUACGGGAGGCAGCAGUGGGGAAUUUUGGACAAUGGGCGCAAGCCUGAUCCAGCCAUGCCGCGUGCGGGAAGAAGGCCUUCGGGUUGUAAACCGCUUUUGUCAGGGAAGAAAAGGUUCUGGCUAAUACCUGGGACUCAUGACGGUACCUGAAGAAUAAGCACCGGCUAACUACGUGCCAGCAGCCGCGGUAAUACGUAGGGUGCGAGCGUUAAUCGGAAUUACUGGGCGUAAAGCGCACGCAGGCGGUCUGUUAAGCUAGAUGUGAAAGCCCCGCGCUCAACGUGGGAUGGUCAUUUAGAACUGGCAGACUAGAGUCUUGGAGAGGGGAGUGGAAUUUCUAGUGUAGCGGUGAAAUGCGUAGAUAUCUGGAGGAACAUCAGUGGCGAAGGCGACUCCCUGGCCAAAGACUGACGCUCAUGUGCGAAAGUGUGGGUAGCGAACAGGAUUAGAUACCCUGGUAGUCCACACCGUAAACGCUGUCUACUAGCUGUUUGUGACUUUAAGUCGUGAGUAGCGAAGCUAACGCGAUAAGUAGACCGCCUGGGGAGUACGGCCGCAAG